AACUGAAGUCAGAAUUACCUUCUAGUCUUGGAAUAUUGUCCCACAGACUCUGUGUGAAAGGGUUCCAGGAGCCUCUGAGCAGAUCAGCUGACGGAUUCCAGUCAGCAGCAGACUUCGGGAGGAGGAUGGCAACAAGCAACAGGGAGGAGGCUCUUCACUUUCUCAUACAGAUCUGGAAGACAAACUCUGCCCAGUAGCCUCAAGCAUUAGUGUAAAAGCCUGACUGUGUCUUCCCUGAUGCUCGUGCUGAUCCCACUGAUUAAAAAACGUGGGUGCUGACAUAA